rnacentral:rRNA from 1 species
UACGUAGGGUGCGAUCGUUGUCCGGAAUUAUUGGGCGUAAAGAGCUCGUAGGCGGUGUGUCGCGUCGGCCGUGAAAACCUGCAGCUUAACUGUGGGCUUGCGGUCGAUACGGGCAUCACUGGAGUUCGGCAGGGGAGACUGGAAUUCCUGGUGUAGCGGUGAAAUGCGCAGAUAUCAGGAGGAACACCGGUGGCGAAGGCGGGUCUCUGGGCCGAUACUGACGCUGAGGAGCGAAAGCGUGGGGAGCGAACAGG